rnacentral:rRNA from 1 species
GAUGAACGCUGGCGGCGUGCCUAAUACAUGCAAGUCGAGCGAACGGACGAGAAGCUUGCUUCUCUGAUGUUAGCGGCGGACGGGUGAGUAACACGUGGAUAACCUACCUAUAAGACUGGGAUAACUUCGGGAAACCGGAGCUAAUACCGGAUAAUAUUUUGAACCGCAUGGUUCAAAAGUGAAAGACGGUCUUGCUGUCACUUAUAGAUGGAUCCGCGCUGCAUUAGCUAGUUGGUAAGGUAACGGCGUACCAAGGCAACGAUGCAUAGCCGACCUGAGAGGGUGAUCGGCCACACUGGAACUGAGACACGGUCCAGACUCCUACGGGAGGCAGCAGUAGGGAAUCUUCCGCAAUGGGCGAAAGCCUGACGGAGCAACGCCGCGUGAGUGAUGAAGGUCUUCGGAUCGUAAAACUCUGUUAUUAGGGAAGAACAUAUGUGUAAGUAACUGUGCACAUCUUGACGGUACCUAAUCAGAAAGCCACGGCUAACUACGUGCCAGCAGCCGCGGUAAUACGUAGGUGGCAAGCGUUAUCCGGAAUUAUUGGGCGUAAAAGCGCGCGUAGGCGGUUUUUUAGUCUGAUGUGAAAGCCCACGGCUCAACCGUGGAGGGUCAUUGGAAACUGGAAAACUUGAGUGCAGAAGAGGAAAGUGGAAUUCCAUGUGUAGCGGUGAAAUGCGCAGAGAUAUGGAGGAACACCAGUGGCGAAGGCGACUUUCUGGUCUGUAACUGACGCUGAUGUGCGAAAGCGUGGGGAUCAAACAGGAUUAGAUACCCUGGUAGUCCACGCCGUAAACGAUGAGUGCUAAGUGUUAGGGGGUUUCCGCCCCUUAGUGCUGCAGCUAACGCAUUAAGCACUCCGCCUGGGGAGUACGACCGCAAGGUUGAAACUCAAAGGAAUUGACGGGGACCCGCACAAGCGGUGGAGCAUGUGGUUUAAUUCGAAGCAACGCGAAGAACCUUACCAAAUCUUGACAUCCUUUGACAACUCUAGAGAUAGAGCUUUCCCCUUCGGGGGACAAAGUGACAGGUGGUGCAUGGUUGUCGUCAGCUCGUGUCGUGAGAUGUUGGGUUAAGUCCCGCAACGAGCGCAACCCUUAAGCUUAGUUGCCAUCAUUAAGUUGGGCACUCUAAGUUGACUGCCGGUGACAAACCGGAGGAAGGUGGGGAUGACGUCAAAUCAUCAUGCCCCUUAUGAUUUGGGCUACACACGUGCUACAAUGGACAAUACAAAGGGCAGCGAAACCGCGAGGUCAAGCAAAUCCCAUAAAGUUGUUCUCAGUUCGGAUUGUAGUCUGCAACUCGACUACAUGAAGCUGGAAUCGCUAGUAAUCGUAGAUCAGCAUGCUACGGUGAAUACGUUCCCGGGUCU